rnacentral:RNase_P_RNA from 2 species
CCAGUUGACCGGGCGGCCGCCAAGCAUGGCUUGGAGGAAAGUCCGGGCUCCAUGAGAACACGGUGCCGGGUAACGCCCGGCGGGGGCGACCCCAGGGAAAGUGCCACAGAAAGCAAACCGCCCCGGCCUCGGCCAGGGUAAGGGUGAAAGGGUGCGGUAAGAGCGCACCGGGCGCCUGGCAACAGGAGCCGCACGGUAAACCCCACCGGGAGCAAGACCGAAUAGGGACGAUGGGAGCUUCGGCUCCAGCCGCGUUUUCACGGCCUGUCGUCCGGGUUGGUUGCAUGAGGGUCCUGGCAACAGGGCUCGCAGAUGAAUGGUCGCCGCGUCCGCCUUCGGGUGGGCCCUACAGAACCCGGCUUACAGGUCAACUGGUGUC